UGAGUCGACGGUAACGGUCUUCGGACGCUGACAGUGGCGAACGGGUGAGUAAUACAUCGGAACGUGCCCAGUCGUGGGGGAUAACUACUCGAAAGAGUAGCUAAUACCGCAACGAUCUGAGGAUGAAAGCGGGGGACCUUCGGGCCUCGCGCGAUUGGAGCGGCCGAUGGCAGAUUAGGUAGUUGGUGGGAUAAAAGCUUACCAAGCCGACAUCUGUAGCUGGUCUGAGAGGACGACCAGCCACACUGGGACUGAGACACGGCCCAGACCGGGAGGCAGCAGUGGGGAAUUUUGGACAAUGGGCGAAAGCCUGAUCCAGCAAUGCCGCGUGCAGGAUGAAGGCCUUCGGGUUGUAAACUGCUUUUGUACGGAACGAAAAAGCUUCUCCUAAUACGAGAGGCCCAUGACGGUACCGUAAGAAUAAGCACCGGCUAACUACGUGCCAGCAGCCGCGGUAAUACGUAGGGUGCGAGCGUUAAUCGGAAUUACUGGGCGUAAAGCGUGCGCAGGCGGUUAUGUAAGACAGAUGUGAAAUCCCCGGGCUCAACCUGGGAACUGCAUUUGUGACUGCAUGGCUAGAGUACGGUAGAGGGGGAUGGAAUUCCGCGUGUAGCAGUGAAAUGCGUAGAUAUGCGGAGGAACACCGAUGGCGAAGCAAUCCCCUGGACCUGUACUGACGCUCAUGCACGAAAGCGUGGGGAGCAAACAGGAUAGAUACCCUGGUAGUCCACGCCCUAAACGAUGUCAACUGGUUGUUGGGAAUUAGUUUUCUCAGUAACGAACUACGCGUGAAGUUGACGCCGGGGAGUACGCCGCGGUUGAAACUCAAAGGAAUUGACGGGCCACACGGGAGAGUGUUAAUUAUGCCGCAAACCUUACCCACCUUUGACUGGCGGAAUUUCAAAUGGCUGCUCAAAAAAGCCCGGCUGCAUGGUGUCCCUCGCGGUGGUCCACCCUUUGACGGGGCA
rnacentral:rRNA from 1 species